UACAGAGGUCUCAAGCGUUGUUCGGAUUCAUUGGGCGUAAAGGGUGCGUAGGCGGCGCGGUAAGUCGGGUGUGAAAUCUCGGAGCUUAACUCCGAAACUGCAUUCGAUACUACCGUGCUUGAGGACUGGAGAGGAGACUGGAAUUUACGGUGUAGCGGUGAAAAUGCGUAGAUAUCGUAAGGAAGACCAGUGGCGAAGGCGGGUCUCGUGGGACGGUACUGACGCUGAGACGCGAAAGCGUGGGGAGC
rnacentral:rRNA from 1 species